UUUUGCUGGCGAGUGUUCGAUUGGCAUUUCGAUGGCGUAGGUUUUUAAGUAGGCUGGUGGAAUUCCUUGCGUUCGUCUACUGGUUCUUCUAGGCUGAUCUUGAUCUUCUGACAUAAGACCGACGAGAUCACAAUAACAAGUUAUGAGAAAUUUUUUCCACGACAGACCAAUAAUCCAUAAAGAUGACCACGUCAGGCCAAGACAAUAAUGAAUAAAGAUGUCCUUUUUUGCCUCACCGAUGAAUAAACUGCAUCCGACUUUACCCUUCUAAAUAAAAACACUAUAAAUUUGCUUUAAUA